rnacentral:lncRNA from 1 species
UACACUAUUAAUAAUGAUAAAAAAAUACAAAGAAUAAAAUAACAAUCAAAACUGACAAAGAUGCAAGUGACUCCCUUGAAGUGGUUUAUGGAAUACUUACUGAACCAAAACUCAGGAACCCAAGGGCAGGUCUAGAUGAUACGGUAAUUGUAUGCUGAUAGCUUAGAGGAAGAUACUUGUAUGCUAUACUUGGAAAGCUACCAUCUAGACUCAGUCCUGAGUGAAUACUGAAAAUGAAUACAAUAUUCAGCUAGAUCUUUCGUGACAUCUCAAGGAAAAUAAUCUGGUUCAAACAACAAAGAUGAGAUGAGUAUUUAUGUAUUUGUACUGGAAAAGUAAAAGAUUCUAAAGAAUCGAAAAAUCAAUUCAUCCAUAUCCCAUGACUCAGCGUAAGUGCAAAUAUAUCUAGCAAAACAGUAAAAGAUAAUCUCCUAGAAAUGGCUGUGGAACAAAAAUGAUUAAAGAAUUUUUACUUCAAAUCUAGCAAAUCCUUCAUCUAUCAAGUUUCUAAAUCAAAUAUAAUGCGCCCUUAGCAUAUAAAUCAACUAACAGGGUGCAAUACGCAAUGGCUCACUCAUCCAUAUAGCACAAAGAAAAAGAUACUAGUUUAUACUAAUAUAUAAAUGCAGGCACUCUUUCUACAUUUUAAUACAACUCUCACUGCUAUUUUCCAAUACCUGAAAAUUUGCAGGCUGCACUUCAAUAAGUACGCUCAACAGAAAUAGUGGCAUUUGGCUCAACAAAAUAUCACAAACUAAUUCAAAAGUUAGAGUUGACCGGAUAUUCUCAAAGCAAAUAAGCCAAAAGGUAACACAAACUAUAAGGGAUCAAGGUACAAGUGCGCAAAAAAAAAAAAUAACGUGGAAUAGUGCUGCUAGACAGAGGACUGGAAACAGUCACAACUAGUUUAUGGAGUUUCUCACCUUGAGUCUUUUCCUGAAAGUCACAGAGGUCAUCAGUACCCAAAUUCUCUACAUAUUGUUUCCUAUAUCCUAUAAAAUAAAACUCUCAUAUCGAAAGAGAAAUCUCAUCUAUCAUCACAGCUUGAUGCAGAAACUUUGGGCUCCAAAAUAUAUAUAUAUAUAUAUAUAUCAUUCAAAUUAUCCCUAAAGACACUUAACAUAAAACCUCACACUCUACUUCUCCUAGUAAUCAUCAAUCAACUAAAUUGGCCUAAUCAAUGAAGCUAAUGUUUAUUAACUGUUUAUAAUCGGUCAAACCACAUUUUAUCCGUACAUUAUGAGACAUACAAGUACAAUUCACUUAUACACCACUAAUUUCUAUCUGUUUAUAACUUUUAAACCGUUUAUAAAUACUUCCCAAACAUGCCCUUAACUUCAAUUUAUAAACUAUAUGUCACAUAGUCAUUUGUGAACCACUUAAAUUCCAGAGGUCAAUUGCAUUUCCAUCUUCCAUUCCACGAUCUUAUUUUAUAUAGCUUGUAAAUAAAACAAGAAUUCAGCGUUUGAAAAAUUCCGGGAAAAGGUUAGGAAGCUACAGCUGCAACCUGGAACUAAAUGAGCAGUCUCAAACAAGAGCCACCGAAGAAUGAUAUCAUUCACGAUAUUGACACGUCUUAAACAGUUUCAACUACCACUAAACAACCUCCCAUUUGUGAAGAGAACAAAUAUAAGAGAAAAAGUACAUAUGUAAAUUGAUGACUUCAUGAUAAUAUUCAGAGGACUGAAAACAAAUCAAAACUUAAGAAACACCUUAAAGAAUUGUAAACCAUCUCGGAAAAGUUGCAGAAACCGCAUAAAUUUGUCCCGAACUUUCUCAUAAAUUCGAUCCACCACCCGUCCAGGUAUCUAAAAUAACGUGUUAUUUUACACCUAAAAAGACAUUCCAGAUCGACCCAUUUUCAAUGUGCGCAACAAAUGCUUAAUUCCUGAAUCACAAAUGACAAUUUAAAAAGAAAAGCAAAACAAUGAAUCGGAAAACUUUUAACAACCACGAGACUAACAUCCAAAUGAAACAGCCUUAUCAUUUUCAGCAGCGUCCGUUAAAAAUAUCCCAAAAAAUGAGACUGAAUCCCAAUAAAAAGCUAUCAAAUUUCACCCGGACCCAUCAAAAAUUAGAACAAUCUUGUAUUGCCACACAAAAAGACAUUCAAGAGCUGACCCAUUUUCAAAUGUCACAAUUCAGAAAUGCAAAUAGAUAAGAUAAUAAGAUGUAAAGAAACAUGCCUGUAAGCGCUUAAUCGAACUGCAAAAACAUUCACUCAAAAUAUUCUUUAGUAAAUUCUGCCUGUGUGUAAAUUUUCGUGAGAGAUUAAUCAUGUACAGUUAUACAUAUAUAGAGGAAAGCGAGAGAGAAAGAAAGAGUUUUUAAGAGUUGAAUAAAGUGGAUUUUGGAGGGGAGAAAGAAUUUCUUGGAGUGAAGAAACUGCAAACAAUUUGUGGAGUGAAAUUGAAAAUGUAAAUCAAC